AGAUCAAUACAAAAUCAUUGGCUCAACCAAAUUUUAUAAGCUUUGCAAAAGUUUGAGAAUGAGAAACAAAUACCACGGGCUGAAAAUCUAAAGAUAGAGUACUCACUUUCUCUCAUUCAGGUAUUCAUAAGGCAAGGAAGGUUUCCUUCCCAUGACAGGCUUCAGAAUUUUACACAUGCAAAGGAAGGAAAGCUGUACACAAAUAAGAGUGCACGCCAAAUACAUAUUGACAAAG
rnacentral:misc_RNA from 1 species